rnacentral:tRNA from 1 species
UCGGGAAGUGGCUUAGUUUGGUAGAGCACCUGGUUUGGGACCAGGGGGUCGCAAGUUCAAAUCCUGUCUUCCCGAUC